rnacentral:misc_RNA from 1 species
UAAUAAAAUUAAUAUAUAAUAUAUAUAUAUAUAUAUAAAAAAUGUAAUUGUGUGUGUGUGCACAUGUAUCUGAAUACACCCUUCAAAAAUGAUGUCUGAUGUUGACGUUUUUGUAAGUAAUUAUACUCUAGUUGAUCCUGAAAUCUAUCAACUUUGGGUUGAUGGAAAUUCUUCAAGCGAUGCAGUUAAUAUAUUACAACAGCGUGGAAUUUGUUUACUAACUAAUGCACCCUUAGACCUAGUAACUUCCGAUGUCCUUGAUCAUUAUCGUACUUAUGCAUUGUUAGAAAAAUUACUUCAUACUCCAACAAAACUUGCAACUGAACAACUAUCGUUUCAAAUAGAACCACAAACUAGCCAAAUGCUCAUUGAAAUGUACUAUGAAUUUGACGACGUUGUUAUUCGAGAACUACUAGGAAAAAAAUUAACGUCCAAAAGUAGAAAAGACAUGGAUGAAGUAUCGGAAAAGACUGGAAUUACUUUGAAAAGUUGUCGUAGACAGUACGAUAAUGUCAAAAGAGUUUUCAAAGUCGUUGAAGAUUUACCAGGCUCUUUGGUCACUAAUAUCAGACAAACUUUUUUACUUUCUGAAGAUCUUGCCAAACGUUAUGGAGCAGUAGUAUUCAUUGCUUGUUUAAGAUUUGAAAUGAAUAAAAGGAAAUUGCAAUUUCUCACAUUUCCCGAUUUGUAUCACUGUGCUAAUAGUAUGAUGGCAGCUUGGACUUAUAGAUGUGUCGGAUCAGAAUAUUUUGAUACUGAUCUUGAUAGAGAAUUUUUGGUUGAACUCGCUGAAUGUAGAAUAUUAUUAGAAAACGAUAAACAUCACAAACACUUGGUGUGCAUCAAACUAAAACCAAUGUUACUUGAACGUUCGUACCAAGAAGUUGAUACAAAUUUUCGUUCUUACACGAGAGCUAUCUUAGGAAUAGGUUGUAGUCUGCACAGAUCUAGAGAAUUAAGAUUUUUCUUUCUAGAAUUAGUUGAAAGAUGUAUAGAACCAUGGAAGCAAGUUAAUUGGUCUCAUACCGAUCUUAGAAAUUUCUUAUCCGUUUAUACACAAUGUGCAUUAGAUAUGGAUGUGUUGAGAGAGGUUGAAAUUAGAGAUGCAUUUGAACGUUACAUGACAGUUGUAACGUGUUGCUUAUUACGGAUGUAUCACACAUGACCAAUAACAACGAGUACAGAAACUACAAACAAAUUAAAUGUGAUAAAUAUUUAAAAGGAACAUGUCAUAACAAACAAGUGAAAAGACAAAUUAUUGAUAUGGAAAUAAUAAUUUAUUACUCACUAAUAAGAUAUAAAAACACAAACUCAUACAUGAAGGCAGUUGGCAAUUUCAAAUAUGGCAGUAUAUUGGUAUUUAUCAUAUUUACAAACAUAGCAUUUUAUAAUAUAAAUGUUCAAACAAUAUAUCUGCAUGUGUAAAAAAAGAGAUUAAGAAAUAAUUGCAAAGUAUAAUUUAAAUAUAUAUAAUAAUAGUAUAAUUUAACAUUGAAAUAUAUGUCCUGUUCAAUAAAUAACAUAUUUAUCCUAAAAUGUGGAUUUUAUAAAUAUUCAAUAUGUGAUUGUAUUAUAUAUUUUAAGAAUAUAUUAUAGUGUGAAUAUACAUAAUCGUUGAUUGUUUAAAUAUUCACUAAAACCUUAUGAAUACCUCUGUGUAAAGAUUUUCUGAUUUGUUAAUCCCUGUAGUCGUUAAAUAAACAUAUUAUGUAGUAUUUAA